GAUGAACGCUGGCGGCGUGCCUAAUACAUGCAAGUCGAGCGAACAGGUGAGGCGCUUGCUCCUUUCUCGUUAGCGGCGGACGGGUGAGUAACACGUGGAUACCCUCCCUAUCAGACUGGGAUAUUUUCGGGAAACCGGAGCUAAUCCCGGAUAAUAUCUUGAACCGCGUGGUUGGAUAGUGAAAGUCGGUUUUUCUGUCACUUAUAGAUGGAUCCCAGCCGCAUUAGCUAGUUGGUAAGGUAACGGCUUAUCAAGGGUACGAUGCGUAGGCGACCGGUGAGGGUGAUAGGCCACACGGGAACGGAGACACGGUCCAGGCUCCUACGGGAGGCAGCAGUAGGGAAUCUUCCGCAGUAGUGGGAAGCCUGACGGAGCAGCGCCGCGUGAGAGAUGAAGAUCUUCGGAGCGUAAAGCUCUGUUAUUAGUGAAGAACAAAUGUCUAAGUAACUAUGCACGUCUUGACGGUACCUAAUCAGAAAGCCACGGCUAACUACGUG
rnacentral:rRNA from 1 species